UCUAACCCUAAUGACCUCAACCAAAUGAUGCCUCUCUCACCUUCCCUUCUUCUAUUGCGCUAACUCCACCCAAACUCGCCUGAAACUCAAGCGAGUUCACCCUAAAACUCACCUCACGUGCUCCCUCCUCUCUCCUCUUGCCACGUAGCGUACUAUCUAUGAUAGACGAAAUUAUUCCUUCCGAAAUUUGCACGUUUAGAUUCUUUUUGGGGCAAUUUUCAGAUUAAUGGGAGUCAUGGAUUGAUUGGCAAUCGAUCCAUGUCCUCCAUUUGUCCCAAAAAUUGUCCACAAGGAGUAGAGGAUUUUUGGAUUUGGGGAGAAGGUUUGAGAAUUUUUUUUUGAGGGAUUUUUUUUUUUCCAGAAGAUUUUUCAGGGAAUUUUUUUUGGAGAGAAAAGUUUGAUAAAAGAAUAGGGCUCUUCCUAUUCUUCCAUCUUCAGUUUCUAUUUUAAAUCUAGAAAAUGAAAAAAUGAUUUCUGUUCGGGUUUUUGGUUUUUUAUACGAGAUUUAGUUGAUCAGUUGCUGAUGUGAGAUUUUAGGUUGGUUUAAGUGUCAAAAUACAAAAACAAAUUCAGUUUUCGUUUUCAAAGUUAGAGUUGGAUUGAAGUUUGAGUUUGAGUACAUGUUUGGAUUUGAAAUUCCGGUGUCGUUUCGAGUUCUUGUUUGAGGUUUCUGUCCGAUUUUGAAGCUGUGUAUCGUUUGACUUCUGGGAAUCGAAGUUGCAUUCUCACUGAAUCUCCUACUGUUGGUUAAAGAAAAUUUCCCCCAACAGGUUCAUUCUCUUUUAUUCUAUCCGUCUUGAUCUUCUUACUGUGAAUCGAUCCUCAUAAAUUAUUAAUAUGACUUAGUAGUGAUAGCCGUAGUUUAUUGAUCUCUUCACAGCUAGCUUACAUGAUUGUGGUUGUUUGGUUUUGAUUUAAUCGCUUUCUGGUGGAUUGUUCAGCUUGCGAAUGAGUUUAAUAUGUGUUCUUAUGGCUAGUUUUUUAACAUUUUCAAAUCUGAUUUUCAAUUGAAUUUUUGAACCACUUCGUUAAGGGUGAACAGAUUUGUGUGCUUCUCUUUUCUUCUAUAAGUAAGAAUUUAAGUACUCAAAAGCUCUCAUAGAUAUUUUAAAGGCCAUUUUUUAAAAAAAAAAAGAAGAAGAAGACACAAUCAUGUGUUACAGUUAUUUGGUAUACUGUUGAACAAUUUGUAAUUUAGUUCGAUUUAUCUACUGGUUCAGUGUUUUGAGUUGAAUCUGAUUUUAAACCACCUUAUGGCUGAGUCAUUGUUCCCAUUAAGUAGGUAGGAUGAUCCAAAGGUGAUACUGGCAGUACGUUCUUAAUUUUAGCUUUUCAGCAGUUUUAAAAGUUUUGAUAUUAUGUUUCGAUGCUUGGAAUGCCUCUUUGGUUCAAGUGAUGAUUAAAAGCUCCUUUUAUACAUGAACAAUUUGCAAAAGUUAAAAAUAUGAUAAAGAGGUCCUAUUAGUUACAGUGAUCCUCCUCGUAGUGAUUACAUUUUAGUUGAAAGGAAAGUAAAUGGGAUUAGGAGGUUUUCGUUAAUUAUAUUGAGAGUGUUCAUGAUUUAAAUGGCAUUAUUGUAUUAGAAUUAGCUGUUGGAAUUCCUGUUUGUUUUAAAUGCUUUCAUCGUUUGAACGCUUAUGUUGCCUGCACAUUCGGUUAGCAUUAACUUGUUUAUUUGUUGCGCCGUGGGAGUGGGAAUGGCCAAAGGCCUUUAGAAAUUAAUUUUGCUAUAUUUUAGGAUCGGUUUGGUCAAAUGCAUGAAAUCUCUUUUAGCAAAAGCGUGCCAUAAGCCUGUCACACGCAAUUUCAAAAUAGUUUGGAAAAUGAUUCAUAAACCUCGUAGCUUGCUUUAGACACGAUUAAUAAAAUCAUUGUGAUCACAGCUACGGUUCCCGUGGCGUGAUCAUGAUACAUAAAUCCAAAUUCGGGUGUGCGUUUCAUGUGACUAAUAAAGUUAAACAUGUUGUAGAUGGUGGGUAUAGUUCCCAUGACACGAUUCGCAACAUGUACAAAAACAAACAAGUGUACGACAAUCGUAACUUGUUCCAGAAAUAACUCCAUAAAUAAUUAAAAGCGGUUUGAAAAGUUUAAAAAUGCACAAUAGGUAUAAAAUAUAUUAUUAAUCAGAUAAUUAGGCCAAUUAAUAAUAGUUGAGCGACCCGCUAAAACUAAGGAACCCGAGAAUGCCUAACACCUUUUCCCGGAUUAACAAAAUUCCUUACCUGGAUUUCUGUGUUUCGCGGACUGUAAAACAUAGUCAAAUUUCCUCGAUUCGGGAUUUUAAACUGGUGACUUGGGACACCAUAAAUUAUCCCAAGUGGCUCAUUUGAAUUUAAGUAAAUAAUCUCGUUUCGGUUUGGUCACUUUAAUUAGAAAAACUCCUCUAUACCCUUUCGAGUAGAAAAAGGAGGUGUGACAUGCAGUGCUGGGGGAUUUCCCGGAAUACUAUUCUGCAGUCCCAAAGUAAAUAUAGAGUACAGGGGGAUUUUCCGGAAUACUAUCCCGUAGUCCCAAAGUAAAUAUGCAGCUCAACUAAUAUAAACAAUCGUAACAGCAAGAAAACCUACAAUUUAGACUAAGUUCAAACCAAAGAAAGCAGGUAAUUUCACUAAACAUACUACACAUAGUUCAGUUAGGCAGUUAAAACACGUAGGCUUGCUUUUCUAAUCUAAACAGGAUAGUACAUAUGUUAGUGUAGUGCAAACAAGGAGAAAACAGGUUAGGACUUAGUGUAAAAUGGAGUUUGGACUUAGCGAACGUGAAGAACAAACUUAGCUAGUCCCUCAGAUACUCUACACGAUCGCGAGCCUUCUCACACGAACGCGAUGAAGGAAACCAGCUUCAGAACGCCAGAAAAAUCUGCUAUCUUUCUAAAUCCAAAAAUGACCCAUUGAGCAUCCGAAACACACCCGAGGCCCUCCGGACCUUAACCAAACAUACCAACCAAUGCUAAGACACCAUACGAACUUAAUUGAGUCCUCAAAUCACAUCAAACAAGGCUAAAAUCACGAAUUACCCUCCAAUUCAAACUUAAUGACUUGAAACUUCCAAAUUCGACAACCGUUGCCGAAACCAAUCAAACCAUAUCUGAUUGACCCCAAAUUUUGCACACAAGUCAUAAUCAACUUUACGGACCUACUCCAACUUCUAGAAUUGGAUUCUAACCCCGAUAUCAAAAAUUCCACUAUCGGUCCAAAACUUCAAAAAUUCGACUUUCGCCAUUUCAAGCCUAAAUGAGGUAUGAACCUUCAAAACACAAUCUGGACACACCCUUAUGCCCAAAAUCACCCAACAGAGCUAACGGAAUCGACACAAUUUCAUUUUAGAGCCGUCUUCACAUUAUUCCAAUUAUGGUCCAAAUCUUAAAGCUUAAACCUUAAUUUAGGGACUAAGUAUCCCAAAACACUCCAAAAACCAAAAAGAAACCUCCCGGCAAGUCAUAAUAGCAUAAAACGAUACAGGGGAAGUAGUUAAUAGGGGAUCAAGGCUCUAACCCUCAAAACGACCAGCUGGGUUGGUACAUCCUCUCCCUCUGAAAAUAGUCAUUCGUCCUCGAAUGAGCAUAGAGACAUACCUGAAGUUGUUAAAAAAUGAGGGUAACGGCUACGCAUAUCCUGUUUAGUCUCCCAAGUCGCCUCCUCGACCGGCUGACCCCGCCAUUUAACCUUUACUGAUGCAAUGUUCUUUGACCUCAGCUUCCAAACCUGCCUUUCCAAAAUAGUCACUGGCUCCUUAGUAUAAGAUAGAUCCUUGUCCAACUGGACUGAGCUAAAAUCCAACACAUGAUAUGGAUCGCCGUGAUACCUCUGGAGCAUCGAAACAUGAAAUACCGGAUGAACUCCUACUAGGCUGGGAGGUAAGGCAAGCUUAUAAGCAACCUCUCCAACUCGGUACAACACCUUAAAGGACCAAUAAACCUUGGGCUCAAUUUUCCCCUCUUUCCAAACCUCAUAACGCCCUUCAUAGGCGAAACCCGGAGUCUAUCAUAAGCCAAUAAACCAUGAAUGCAAUAUUGUGAACCUUUGGGUCCGCAUAACUCUUCUGUCUGGACUGGGCUGUGCGAAGUCUAUCCUGAAUCACCUUAACCUUCUGCAAAGCAUCUUGAACCAAGUCCAUACCCAUUAAUCUGGCCUCGCCUGACUCGAACAUACCCACUGGGACCGACACCGCCUACCAUAAAGAACCUCAUAAGUUGCCAUAUGAAUGUUGGACUGAUAACUAUUGUUGUAGGCAAACUCCGCAAGUGACAAUAAUUGAUCCCAAAAACCUCUAAACUCCAUCACUCAAGCACAGAGCAUAUCCUUAAAGAUCUGAAUAACGCGCUCGGACUGCUCAUCCGUCUAAGGAUGAAAUGUUGCGCUCAACUCCACCUGAAUACCCAACUCAUGUUGUACAGCUCUCCAGAACCAUGAUGUAAACUGCGUGCCCCGGUUAGAGAUGAUACAUAUCGGCAUGCUAUGAAGUAUGACAAUAUCGCGUAUAUAAACUCGAGCCAGCUGCUUGGAAGAAUAGAUAGUCUUCGUAGGAAGGAAAUGAGCUGACUUGGUCAGUCUAUCUACAAUCACCCAAACUACAUCAAACUUCCGUUGAGUCCGUGAGAGUCCAACAAUGAAAUCCAUAGUGAUCCAUUCCCAUUUCCACUUUGGAAUAUCUAACUUCUGAAGUAAUCCACCCGGCCGUUGAUGUUCAUACUUCACCUGCUGAUAAUUUAGACACCAGGCUACAUAUUCCGCUAUGUCCUUCUUCAUCCUCAUCCACCAGUAAUGCUACCUCAAGUCCUGAUACAUUUUUGCGGCACCCAGAUGAAUGGAGUACUGCGAGCUAUGAGCCUCUUGAAGAAAAAACUCCCGUAGACCAUCUACAUUAGGCAUACAUAGCCUGUCCUACAUCCUCAAUGCACAUCAUCCCCAAUACUGACCUCCUUAGCAUCACCGUGCUGGACCGUGUCCUUUAGGACAAGCAAAUAGGGAUCAUCAUAUUGACACUGCCUGAUACGAUCAUAAAGAGAAGACCGAGAAACCACACAAGCCAACACUCGACUAGGCUCAAAAAUAUCUGAUCUCAUAAACUGGCUGGCAAAAGCAUAAACAUCCAACGCCAUGGGCCUCUCUACUGCUAGUAGGUAAGCUAAACUACCCUAGCUCUCUGCCCAAAGACUCAAAGCAUCGGCCAUCACAUUGGCCUUCCCCAGGUGGUACAAAAUGGUGAUAUCAUAAUCCUUAAGUAGCUCCAACCACCUCCUUUGACGCAAAUUAAGAUCCUUCUGCUUGAACAAAUGCUGCAAACUCCAUUGAUCAAAAUAGAUCUUACAAGGGACUCCGUACAAAUAGUGCCUCCAAAUCUUUAAGGCAUGAACAAUAGCAGCUAACUUAAGGUCGCGAACAGGAUUAUUCUUUUCACGCACCUUCAACUGUCUGGACGCGUAGAAAAUCACCCUACAGUCCUGCAUUAACGUUGCACUAAGGCCAACUCGCGACGCAUCACAAUAAACUAUAUAAGACCCUGAAGGCAAUACCAAUAUUGGGGCUGUAGUCAAAGCUGUCUUGAGCUUCCGAAAGCUCUACUCGCACUCCUGUGUCCAUAUGAUUGGAGUACCCUUCUGGGUUAGCCUGGUCAUAGGCGCUGCAAUAGACGAGAACCCCUCAAAAAAUUGACAGUAAUAUCCCAUCAAACCUAGGAAGCUCCGGAUCUCUAUAGCUGAGGACGGUCUGGCAACUUUGCACUACCUCCACUUACUUUGAAUCUACCUUGAUCCCUUUACUCGACACCACAUGAUCAAAAAAUUCCACAGAAUCCAACUAGAACUCACAUUUUGAGAACUUUGCAUAAAAUUUCUUCUAUCUCAAGUUCUGAAGCCCAGUCCUCAAGUGCUGCUCAUGAUCUUCCCAACUCCGGGAGUACACCAGAAUGUCAUCAAUAAAUACAUUGACGAAUGAGUCAAGAUAAGGCCAAAAUACACUGCAUCAAAUGCAUAAAUGUUGCUAGGACGUUGAUCAGCCCAAUUGACAUGACAAGGAACUCGUAAUGAUCAUACAAAGUCCUGAAAGCAGUCUUCAUGAUAUCUGGCUCCCGAAUCUUCAAUUGAUCAUAAUCGGAACGCAAGUCAAUCUUGGAAAAUACUCUGGCACCCUGUAACUGAUCAAAUAAGUCAUCAAUACGAGGCAAAGGUUAUCUGUUCAUCAUGGUGACUUUGUUCAACUGACGAUAAUCAAUGCACAUACGCAUAGUACCAUCCUUUUUCUUCACAAACAAGACAGGAUCACUCCAAUGUGACACACUGGGCCGAAUGGAUCCCUUAUCAAGUAAUUCUUGUAGAUCAACUCCUUCAACUAAGGAGGGGCCAUACGAUAAGGAGGAAUAUAGAUGGGUUGAGUGCCCGACAACAAAUCAAUGCCAAAAUCAAUAUCUCUGUCGUGCGACAUGCCCAGAGAUCAGCUGGAAACACAUAAGAGAAAUCUAUUACUACAGGGACUGAAUCAACUGUAAGGGUAUCAAUACUGACAUCUCUCACAUAGGCUAGAUACGCGUCACACCCUUUCUCAACCAUUCGUCAUGCUUUAAGAAAUGAAAUAACUUUGCUGGGGGUGUAAUCUAAGGUAUCCCUCCACUUUAAUCACAGUAAACCUGGCAUAGCUAGCGCCACGAUUUUGGAGUGAAAAUCUAGAAUAGCAUAAUGGGGCGACAACCAGUCCAUGCCCAAGAUAACAUCAAAAUCUACCAUGCUGAGCAACAACAAAUCAGCUCUGUCUCAAAACCACUAAAUGUAAUCAAACACGACUGAUAAAUAUAGUCCACAACAAGACAAUCUCCCAUAGAAGUAGACACAUAAACAGGGGAACUCAAAGAAUCACGAGAUAUGCCCAAAUGUCGGGCAAAAUAAGAGGACACAUAGGAAUAAAUGGAGCCUGGAUCGAAUAAACCGAUGCAUCUCUAUGAUAGACUUGAACAAUACCUGUAAUGACAGAAUCAGAAGCAACGAGAAUGAAGGGAAUAGUAUCUGGCCUGGCCUCCCCCUCUAGGGCGACCUUUGUGUCACAUCUUGCAUUUUCGUACAUUAAAGUUUUUUCUUCAGUUAAUCGACAUAGACUUGGGGAUGAGAUUAUCUUGAGGUUAUACACAGUUAUGUUAUUUAUAUCAAGCGAUAAGUAAGUUCCGUGAAGGAUAAAGGUUAAACGAAUCAAAUUAAAUGAGUUUCGUUGAAAAUUGUCGAUUUGGGAUAAAAAUACGGCCCGACAAUAAUACCCAGUAUUUAAGGACUAAUGCCAUACAAGGUACCCCACGACCACAAUAGUAGGAUACAUAAAUUGUAUUAAAGUGAGUAGUAUUUUAAGUAAGUUGAGAUAAUUCUUAAUUAUAUGAGUAAUUGGUUAAUGAAUGACUAAUUAGUUAAAUAAGUCAUUAAUGGGUAAUUAAGAUUUUGGGAUAAUUAAGAGGCCAAAACCGUGGCAACCCCCCUUAAAUUAAGAUGACUCUUAAAAGUCUUGUAAGAUGUCAUAUUUUAAAGAAUUAGGAUGGCUUAGUCAUCCACUAAAUGGACCACACCCACUAAAGGUAUUUUUAUAAUUAGUAAGAUGUUACAUGCCAUCUUAUUAUGAGUUUCUAAAGGCUUAAAUGUGAGUUUCUUCAAUAUAAAGUUUCUAAAGGCUUAACGUGAGUUUCUUUAAAUGAAUUCAUAUAUGCAUUACAAAUCAAAUGGAAUCUCUUAAAGAGAGUGACUAGUCGUGAGUGCUUCAAAGAGAAAAAAAAUUCCAUAUCAAAGUUAGAUAACGUUGGUUGUCGAUUUUGUAAAGUGUGAAUUGCAAAUUCUAAGAGAAUUGGUUCAGGUAUGUAUAGGCUAUCCCUUCUUUUGUUUUUGGCAUGAUCCAUACGAUACAAACGAAACGAGCAAAUGUAUAACUUCCAUAAAUAACUCUAUUCAUAGGAGUAUUAGAGGUGCCUAUGUUCUUGAAUUCCCAUUUAUCUUAUUAUUACAUCUUCUAUUCAUGGGUCUUAGAAAAAUACGUAGUUGAUAAAGUUUAUCCGAAAGGAAUAUUGAUCUUAUUNNNNNNNNNNNNNNNGCCACCUGAUCAGCUGGUACAUGUUAAUGAUUUUACCCACAGUAGCCGAGAUGAUAUGAUGGGAUACUCUUAGAGGCUUGAUGAUGUUACGUACACCAAUACCUAUGCAUGACACGACAUUUACACGCACGUGCAUGACAUUAUAAAUGUUUCAGGAUUUACAAAGUGAUUUAGACUUACAGGUAGAAUUCCUUAUUCCAUGUUUCAUCUAUGCCUAUUAUGUACUGAUUUUUAUGCCUUACAUACUCAGUACAUUAUUCACACUGACGCCCUAUUUCCCCAGGCAUACAUUUCAUACCUGCAGGUAAAGGUA
rnacentral:lncRNA from 1 species